rnacentral:rRNA from 1 species
AGCGAACGCUGGCGGCAGGCCUAACACAUGCAAGUCGAACGAGCCUUCGGGCUAGUGGCGGACGGGUGAGUAACACGUGGGAACGUACCUUUAGGUUCGGAACAACUCAGGGAAACUUGAGCUAAUACCGGAUAAGCCCUUCGGGGAAAGGAUUUAUCGCCUUUAGAGCGGCCCGCGUUAGAUUAGCUAGUUGGUGGGGU